rnacentral:lncRNA from 1 species
UGGGAGUAGGGGUAGGGCCAUCAACUGUCAUAGUUGAAGUAGAAAGUACAGGUGUAGCAACUGGUGCAUGAUCAAUCUCAUAAACAUCUUCAUCACCACCAUCAACAUGCUCUUCCUCUUCCUCAAAGAUGCUUUGUCCUAUUUCAUGUUCACUUGAAAGCUCAAAGACAGGAGUUGUGCAAGGCAUAGUUUCAUCAAAGGUAAUUUCACAUGUUUCCACAAUUCGGUUAGUUUCAAGGUUAAGCACACAAUAAGCACGAUUAUGAGAAGCAUAACCUAGAAAGAUACCAUCCGUAGAGCGAGACUCAAAUUUAUCCAAGUUAGCUUGCUUAAGAAUGAAACACUUGUAGCCAAACACUCUCAAGUGACUUACCUUG